rnacentral:rRNA from 1 species
GACGAACGCUGGCGGCGUGCUUAACACAUGCAAGUCGAACGGUGAAGCGCCUUCCUUUUUGGUAGGGGUGGAUGAGUGGAGAACGGGGGAGUAACACGUGAGUAACCUGCCCCCUUCUUCUGGAUAACCGCAUGCAAGUGUUGCUAAUACGUGAUAUUCUGGGACUGUCGCAUGAUGGGUCUGGGAAGGAUUUUGUUUACGCGGGGGAUGGGCUCGCGGUCUAUAAGCUGGUUGGUGGGGUGAUGGCCUACAAGGGCGGUGACGGGCGGCCGGCCGGGGAGGUUGGACGGUCAGACAGGGACUGAGACACGGAACAGACUCGUAAGGCAGCCAGCGGGGGGCAAUAGUGCUCAAUGGGAGCAAGACUGAGGCAGCCACGCCGCGUGAGGGAGGUAUGCCGUCGGUUUGUGAAUCUCUGUCGAGAGUGAAGCUGGUGUGCCUCGAUUGUGGGUGGGUUGACGGUAGCUGGAUAAGAAGCGCCGGCUAACUACGUG